rnacentral:rRNA from 1 species
CGUUAAUCGGAAUUACUGGGCGGAAAGCGUGCGCAGGCGGUGCACCAAGCUCGAUGUGAAAGCCCCGGGCUUAACCUGGGAAUUGCAUUGAGGACUGGUGUGCUCGAGUGCGGCAGAGGGGGGUGGAAUUCCAGGUGUAGCGGUGAAAUGCGUAGAUAUCUGGAGGAAUACCGGUGGCGAAGGCGGCGUUCUGGACUGCAACUGACACUGAUAAACGAAAGCCAGGGUAGCAAACGGG